UCCGAAGCCAGGUGUGAUUAAUCUUGUAUCAGUUGGUCUCCUUGAAAAAUCGUUCUGGCAGACUUAUUGCAUCUUUGCCUUUAAAUAGCGGCUUUGCACCUACAGGAAACGAAUACGCAACGUUUCGUUUAAGUUGGCUCCCCGGCCUUCCUGUCCUCUACAACAGCCUGGACGCCGAAGCGCAGAGCUCCCGUGUGGCGUGAAACUGGACAGAUGAGCGGUCAGUUCGAAGCAGCAGCCGGACUCACCUCGCGGUCCCAGGUGCCCACCGUCUCUCCGGCCGGCUUUCCCGACUGAAGCGUUUCCUCUCCCGGGGCUCCAGACGGCGAGCCGCCGGAGCUUUUGGAUAGUGACGGCCGGCGAGUUUACGCCUGAACCUUUUCUUGUUAAAUUGUUUGCAAUAAACUAGUUUCCUCGGAUUGUUUCUUACCCCAAUUUGUUGGGGAUGUUGGCGGGGUCACUUCAUGCAGUAAGAGCAAGCCUCCAUAUACCUGUAAGAUCAUCCUCAUGUUUCUUUAAUAAGCCUUCAUGUACUCCUGUAGGCUACUCAGAGUGUCGG